rnacentral:rRNA from 1 species
GUGGAGCAUGUGGUUUAAUUCGAUGCAACGCGAAAAACCUUACCCACCUUUGACAUGGCAGGAAGUUUCCAGAGAUGGAUUCGUGCUCGAAAGAGAACCUGCACACAGGUGCUGCAUGGCUGUCGUCAGCUCGUGUCGUGAGAUGUUGGGUUAAGUCCCGCAACGAGCGCAACCCUCGCCCCUAGUUGCCAUCAUUCAGUUGGGAACUCUAGGGGGACUGCCGGUGAUAAGCCGCGAGGAAGGUGGGGAUGACGUCAAGUCCUCAUGGCCCUUACAGGCUGGGCUACACACGUGCUACAAUGGCGGUGACAAUGGGCAGCGAAAGGGUGACCUCGAGCUAAUCCCAAAAAGCCGUCUCAGUUCAGAUUGCACUCUGCAACUCGAGUGCAUGAAGGUGGAAUCGCUAGUAAUCGUGGAUCAGCAUGCCACGGUGAAUACGUUCCCGGGCCUUGUACACACCGCCCGUCACACCAUGGGAGUGGGUUGCAAAAGAAGUAGGUAGCUUAACCUUCGGGAGGGCGCUUACCACUUUGUGAUUCAUGACUGGGGUGAAGUCGUAACAAGGUAGCCGUAGGGGAACCUGCGGCUGGAUCACCUCCUU